CCUACGGGGGGCUGCAGUCGAGAAUCUUCGGCAAUGGGGGAAACCCUGACCGAGCGACGCCGCGUGCGAGAUGAAGGCCUUCGGGUUGUAAAUCGCUGUCAGUGGGGAGGAAAUACUGGUGGGUUCUCCCAUCAGUUUGACCUAUCCGCAGAGGAAGGACGGGCUAAGUUCGUGCCAGCAGCCGCGGUAAGACGAACCGUCCAAACGUUGUUCGGAAUCACUGGGCUUGAAGGGUGGGUAGGCGGCCCGGAAAGCCCUCGGCUCAACCGAGGAAUUGCGCCCAAAACUGCCGGGCUCGAGGGAGACAUAGGUGAGCGGAACUUAGGGUGGAGCGGUGAAAUGCGUUGAUAUCCUAAGGAACACCAGUAGCGAAAGCGGCUCACUGGGUCUCUUCUGACGCUGAGUGCACGAAAGCUAGGGGAGCGAAGAGGAUUAGAUACCCGAGUAGUC
rnacentral:rRNA from 1 species